rnacentral:piRNA from 1 species
UGGAAAAGGAUGAGGACUCAUUCCCAUUU